AUGGUUCCCCUUGGAAUCACGGGUAUCUUUAUCCGUGCUUGGAAUACAUAGUGUAACACAACAUAGUCCUUUAACUGAUGGACAUAAAUUUGGAACUGCCAAAUUGCUGGAACCGGAAGUGAAGUCGAAAUUACUUUGAUGGUAGAGCUGACACUAUAGGCUUUUUUGCCAGAUCGUCCACCAUUUCCUCAGCUGUUAGAGGCACAUUAUCAAUAUUAGACAAGAAGGCGAUAUUGACAAUAUUCUUAAUGGUGAUCAACUAGUCAACAAUGAGCAACUAAUCAAUAUCAGACAAGAAGAAAUAUUGAAUAAACGACAAUUAUCUGCAAAAUGCUUGUAAAACCAGGCCAAAAAAAUGAUAAAAAAAUCUAAUAGAAAAUUUGAAGAGCUUGAAGUAGGAGUAAAUGUUCGAAAAAUAAAUAUUAAUAAAUAUUAUAUUCUACUGUGUACCUUAUCAUAAUUUAAAACUCGGUUGACUAUUAAUUUUUCAUUGACUACAUAGUCUUAGUCAAUAAAAUCAAUGAUUGGCCAAUUUUAAAAUUAAUGUUUUACUAUUAGAUGGUUUCUAUCAUUGUCUAUCUUAGUUUAGGCAUUCUCUAAAAUAACUAGCCAAUAAUAUCAAUGCCUAUAAAAAACAGGCAGGGUUAACAUAGUCUAGUCAUUUUUAAUAAUGUCUAAUUAUCAUCAUUGACGGUAACAUAUAUAUACUUUAUCUACUUUAUAUGUACUUAUACUUAUAUACUUUUACUAUAAAUCAUUAUAUUAAAUUUAA